UACGGAGGGUGCGAGCGUUAUCCGGAAUUAUUGGGCGUAAAGAGCUCGUAGGCGGUUUGUCGCGUCUGCUGUGAAAACUGGAGGCUCAACCUCCAGCCUGCAGUGGGUACGGGCAGACUAGAGUGCGGUAGGGGAGAUUGGAAUUCCUGGUGUAGCGGUGGAAUGCGCAGAUAUCAGGAGGAACACCGAUGGCGAAGGCAGAUCUCUGGGCCGUAACUGACGCUGAGGAGCGAAAAGCAUGGGGAGCGAACAGG
rnacentral:rRNA from 1 species